rnacentral:rRNA from 1 species
AUGAACGCUAGCGGCAGGCCUAACACAUGCAAGUCGAGGGGCAGCACAGGUAGCAAUACUGGGUGGCGACCGGCGGAUGGGUGCGUAACGCGUAUGCAACCUACCAUUGAUUGGGGCAUAGCCCGAAGAAAUUCGGAUUAAUACUCCAUAAUAUUCAUCAAAGGCAUCUUUUAUGAAUUAAAGCUUUUGCGAUCAAUGAUGGGCAUGCGUGACAUUAGUUAGUUGGUGAGGUAACGGCUCACCAAAACGAUGAUGUCUAGGGGUUCUGAGAGGAUUAUCCCCCACACUGGUACUGAGACACGGACCAGACUCCUACGGGAGGCAGCAGUGAGGAAUAUUGGUCAAUGGACGCAAGUCUGAACCAGCCAUGCCGCGUGCAGGAUGACGGCCCUAUGGGUUGUAAACUGCUUUUCCGCGGGAAGAACCCUCCGACGUGUCGGAGACUGACGGUACCGUGGGAAUAAGCAUCGGCUAACUCCGUG